GCUUCUUCGUUUCUUCGACUUUAUAUUGGAUUUUAAUACAUUGGAUUACAUUGAUUUAUUGUUUGCUUCAAAUUAUAUAGAAGUGCGAAAUAUUUUGCAGGGUGUUAUUGAGAUAUGUGCUAGUGGAGCAGAGAAUUGGAUGAUUUAAUUGAUGCAAAUUCCUAUUGUUGUUUUCUUCUUAAUAAAUGUUGUUCGGUUGGGAAUGGAGAACGAGUAUGGUGGUUGGGGGCUAUAGUAAAUUGGAUAAUUUAGAGCUAUGAAUUUUUUUUUUUACUAAAAUAAUAAAUUUAUAAUUUUUUAAUAAUUAUUUUAAAUAAAUGGGCUAUGAAUAGAAUUACCCUAAAAAGAAUACAAGGCCCAACGGUAAUAAAAACAAAAGGCCCCAAACAAAAUAGAGAAUUUGGGCUUAAAUAACUUAGAAGAUUAGCCCAUUAUCAAUUUAAAUCUGCAGCCCAGAUAAUUAAAAUGAAAGGCGCAACACUAAAUUAGGGGUGAGCAGAAAUCGAACCGAAACUCAAAAUCAAACCGAAUCAAACGAUUUUGGUGAUGUUCGAUCCCGAUUCUACUGGUUUAGUUUUCGGUUCGGUUUUAAACCGAACCGAACCGAUAAAUAUUAAUAUUUUAUUAUAUAUUUAUAUUUUAAUAUAUAAUUAAUUUUCUAAUUUUAAACCUAAAACCCUAACACAUCUCACAUCUGAACUCCUCCAAUUCUCUCCUUAUUCCCGCCGCUCUCACUCUCAGCCUCUCACUCUCCCCCUUCCGUCCACUCUCCUACCCGCCGUCCGCCCGUCGUCGCCGACGCUCCAUGCCGUUCGCCAGUCGACGACAGCCCAGGCCGGGCGUCCCCCCUUCCGCGACAGCCCAGGCGACAUCCGUUGUCCUUGGAGGCGGAGACGACUACCCCCUUCCGGCUUCCAGUUUCCAACGGCGAGACGCCGAGAACCGACUCCCCUUUCCGGCUAAAAAUUACCAACUGUUUCAGCAAAAAGAGAAUUUUUUUCAUAAAGUAUCUUCUUCAAAGGUAACUCUAUCUGUAACAAUUUUGGGUUAGACCUCCUCAUUUUUGACUUGGUGAAAUGCAAUGUUUAAUUCCUACCGAACGGAACCGAUGCUCACCCCUAAACUAAAUGAUAUUCUGGGCUCAUAUCAAUAAAAGUGGCCCAAUAAAAUACUAACAUGGCCCAAAGGGAAAUAAAACACAAAAAAUCAGCCAAGUCUUUCUUUCUCAACCACCCUCGUCCCUCGGCCAUUAACAGAUUUUCAAUCCCUCAUUCUCUUCUCGAAGUAGUCGCCCCUCUCUUCUAUAAUUCUCGUCGCCGCUGCUUCUCCUCCGGCGACGUCGCGCCGCCUGAGUCCGUCGCCCUUCUCUCUCUCUUACCAUGCGCAAAGCCCGAAUCUCUCUCUGAUAGCACACGCUCAAGGCAAAAGGGCGGGCCCUAAUUCCUCCCCUAAAUCGAAAUCGCCGCCACCUCCGCCGUCUGUGGAAGACCGGCGAGGUCGGCUCCAGUAUGAGCUCCUCUCUUCUCCUAACAUCGAUCUGUGCCCAGGCAGCAAGAGUUCGUCUUCGCCGUUUCCUUGGGCUCGACUGGACAGGGCAGUCGGUCCUCCAUUCUUAAAAGCUAAGUUCUUCUUCUAUGGCUAAUCGGUGUUUCAGUUAUGCAAGGGUAGUAAGAAUGUUGUAGUUUUGCUACUGCCUAUAGGAAGGUUCUCAAUGCAGCUAUAGGCUGUUGGUUCCACAUGGAUAACUUGAUUAUGAAAUGGUGAGGCUAAUGACUGAAAGGAAUUGAGUUACAGCAAGGCUUACCCUUUGAGUUUUGGCAGAACAAUGAAUGAGGUUUCUCCUUACUCUUCCAUCGUUGAACAAUUUAACGGUUGUUGUUUUGUGAAAAAGAAGGAUGUGGAAGCAUUAAAGCCAAGCUUACCGGAGCAAUGAAGGAAGGGUCUCUGCUUCUUUUUGAAGAUUUAUCUCACGCUUUUGUGUUUGUGUGGUUCAAAAUCCAAAUCAUACCCCAUCUAAAUUUAUUGGAUUGGGCCUUCUUUUAUUAUUGAUAUGGCUGGGCUUUACAGCCUUUACCCCUUUUUCAUUUUCUUUACAAGGUGGGUACUUUGCAGACAA